AUUGAACGCUGGCGGCAGGCCUAACACAUGCAAGUCGAGCGAGCGGCGGACGGGUGAGUAAUGUCUGGGAAACUGCCUGAUGGAGGGGGAUAACUACUGGAAACGGUAGCUAAUACCGCAUACCAUAAGAUGUGCGAAGAUGUGAUUAGCUAGUUGGUGGGGUAACGGCUCACCUAGGCGACGAUCCCUAGCUGGGCUGAGAGGAUGACCAGCCACCCUGGAACGGAGACAUGGUCCAGACUCCUACGGGAGGACGCAGUGGGGAAUAUUGCACAAUGGGCGCAAGCCUGAUGCAGCCAUGCCGCGUGUGUGAAGAAGGCCUUCGGGUUGUAAAGUACUUUCAGCGGGGAGGCGUUACCCGCAGAAGAAGCACCGGCUAACUCCGUGCCAGCCGCCGCGGUAAUUC
rnacentral:rRNA from 1 species